rnacentral:rRNA from 1 species
UAAAGAUUCAUCGCUGAUAGAUAGGCAUGCGCUCCAUUAGGCAGUUGGCGGGGUAACGGCCCACCAAACCGACGAUGGAUAGGGGUUCUGAGAGGAAGGUCCCCCACAUUGGUACUGAGACACGGACCAGACUCCUACGGGAGGCAGCAGUGAGGAAUAUUGGUCAAUGGGCGUAAGCCUGAACCAGCCAAGUCGCGUGAGGGAUGAAGGUUCUAUGGAUCGUAAACCUCUUUUAUAAGGGAAUAAAGUGUGGGACGUGUCCUAUUUUGUAUGUACCUUAUGAAUAAGGAUCGGCUAACUCCGUGCCAGCAGCCGCGGUAAUACGGAGGAUCCGAGCGUUAUCCGGAUUUAUUGGGUUUAAAGGGUGCGUAGGCGGCCUUUUAAGUCAGCGGUGAAAGUCUGUGGCUCAACCAUAGAAUUGCCGUUGAAACUGGGGGGCUUGAGUAUGUUUGAGGCAGGCGGAAUGCGUGGUGUAGCGGUGAAAUGCUUAGAUAUCACGCAGAACCCCGAUUGCGAAGGCAGCCUGCCAAGCCAUGACUGACGCUGAUGCACGAAAGCGUGGGGAUCAAACAGGAUUAGAUACCCUGGUAGUCCACGCAGUAAACGAUGAUCACUAGCUGUUUGCGAUACAGUGUAA